GACGAACGCUGGCGGCGUGCUUAACACAUGCAAGUCGAACGGAAAGGCCUCUUUCGGGGGGUACUCGAGUGGCGAACGGGUGAGUAACACGUGAGUAACCUGCCCUUGACUUUGGGAUAACUUCAGGAAACUGGGGCUAAUACCGGAUAGGAGCUCCUGCUGCAAGGUGGGGGUUGGAAAGUUUCGGCGGUUGGGGAUGGACUCGCGGCUUAUCAGCUUGUUGGUGGGGUAGUGGCUUACCAAGGCUUUGACGGGUAGCCGGCCUGAGAGGGUGACCGGCCACAUUGGGACUGAGAUACGGCCCAGACUCCUACGGGAGGCAGCAGUGGGGAAUAUUGCACAAUGGGUGGAAGCCUGAUGCAGCAACGCCGUGUGCGGGAUGACGGCCUUCGGGUUGUAAACCGCUUUCGCUCAUGACGAAGCUUUGUGUGACGGUAGUGGGUAAAGAGGCACCGGCUAACUACGUG
rnacentral:rRNA from 1 species